rnacentral:rRNA from 1 species
UACAGAGGGCUCAAGCGUUGUUCGGAUUCAUUGGGCGUAAAGGGCGCGUAGGCGGCGCUGUAAGUCAGGUGUGAAAUUUCGGAGCUUAACUCCGAAACUGCAUUUGAUACUGCGGUGCUCGAGGACUGGAGAGGAGACUGGAAUUUACGGUGUAGCAGUGAAAUGCGUAGAGAUCGUAAGGAAGACCAGUGGCGAAGGCGGGUCUCUGGACAGUUCCUGACACUGAGGCACGAAGGCCAGGGGAGCAAACGGG